rnacentral:rRNA from 1 species
GAACGCUGGCGGAAUGCGUUACACAUGCAAGUCGAACGGUAGAGGGGGCAACCCCUUGAGAGUGGCGAACGGGUGAGUAAUAUAUCGGAACGUGCCCAGUCGUGGGGGAUAACGUAGCGAAAGUUACGCUAAUACCGCAUACGAUCUCAGGAUGAAAGCGGGGGACUCGCAAGAGCCUCGCGCGAUUGGAGCGGCCGAUAUCAGAUUAGGUAGUUGGUGGGGUAAAGGCUCACCAAGCCAACGAUCUGUAGCUGGUCUGAGAGGACGACCAGCCACACUGGAACUGAGACACGGUCCAGACUCCUACGGGAGGCAGCAGUGGGGAAUUUUGGACAAUGGACGCAAGUCUGAUCCAGCCAUUCCGCGUGCAGGAUGAAGGCCCUCGGGUUGUAAACUGCUUUUGUACGGAACGAAAAGGUCUCUCUUAAUACGAGGGGCUCAUGACGGUACCGUAAGAAUAUCUGUG